rnacentral:rRNA from 1 species
AGUGGGGAAUUUUGGACAAUGGGGGCAACCCUGAUCCAGCAAUGCCGCGUGCAGGAAGAAGGCCUUCGGGUUGUAAACUGCUUUUGUACGGAACGAAAAGGCUCUGGUUAAUACCUGGGGCUCAUGACGGUACCGUAAGAAUAAGCACCGGCUAACUACGUGCCAGCAGCCGCGGUAAUACGUAGGGUGCAAGCGUUAAUCGGAAUUACUGGGCGUAAAGCGUGCGCAGGCGGUGCUGUAAGACAGGCGUGAAAUCCCCGGGCUUAACCUGGGAAUUGCGCUUGUGACUGCAGUGCUGGAGUGCGGCAGAGGGGGAUGGAAUUCCGCGUGUAGCAGUGAAAUGCGUAGAUAUGCGGAGGAACACCGAUGGCGAAGGCAAUCCCCUGGGCCUGCACUGACGCUCAUGCACGAAAGCGUGGGGAGCAAA